rnacentral:rRNA from 1 species
UUCGCCGCCUGGGGAGUACGGUCGCAAGACUGAAACUCAAAGGAAUUGACGGGGGCCCGCACAAGCGGUGGAGUAUGUGGUUUAAUUCGAUGCAACGCGAAGAACCUUACCUGGCCUUGACAUGUCGAGAACUUUCCAGAGAUGGAUCGGUGCCUUCGGGAACUCGAACACAGGUGCUGCAUGGCUGUCGUCAGCUCGUGUCGUGAGAUGUUGGGUUAAGUCCCGCAACGAGCGCAACCCUUGUCCCUAGUUGCUACGCAAGAGCACUCCAGGGAGACUGCCGGUGACAAACCGGAGGAAGGUGGGGAUGACGUCAAGUCCUCAUGGCCCUUAUGGGUAGGGCUUCACACGUCAUAC